CCUACGGGUGGCAGCAGUGGGGAAUAUUGCACAAUGGGGGAAACCCUGAUGCAGCGACGCCGCGUGAGUGAAGAAGUAUCUCGGUACGUAAAGCUCUAUCAGCAGGGAAGAAAAUGACGGUACCUGACUAAUAAGCCCCGGCUAACUACGUGCCAGCCGCCGCGGUAAUACGUAGGGGGCAAGCGUUAUCCGGAUUUACUGGGUGUAAAGGGAGCGUAGACGGCAGCACAAGUCUGGAGUGAAAUCCCGGGGCUUAACCCCGGAACUGCUUUGGAAACUGUGCGGCUGGAGUGCAGGAGGGGUAAGCGGAAUUCCUAGUGUAGCGGUGAAAUGCGUAGAUAUUAGGAGGAACACCGGUGGCGAAGGCAGCUUACCAAUCUAUAUCUGACGUUGAGGCACGAAAGCGUGGGGAGCAAACAGGAUUAUAUACCCUUGUAGUC
rnacentral:rRNA from 1 species